GGGUUGUGAGGUUAAGCGACUAAGCGUACACGGUGGAUGCCCUGGCAGUCAGAGGCGAUGAAGGACGUGCUAAUCUGCGAUAAGCGUCGGUGAGGUGAUAUGAACCGUUAUAACCGGCGAUUUCCGAAUGGGGAAACCCAGUGUGAUUCGUCACACUAUCAUUAACUGAAUCCAUAGGUUAAUGAGGCGAACCGGGGGAACUGAAACAUCUAAGUACCCCGAGGAAAAGAAAUCAACCGAGAUUCCCCCAGUAGCGGCGAGCGAACGGGGAGCAGCCCAGAGCCUGAAUCAGUGUGUGUGUUAGUGGAAGCGUCUGGAAAGGCGCGCGAUACAGGGUGACAGCCCCGUACACAAAAAUGCACAUGCUGUGAGCUCGAUGAGUAGGGCGGGACACGUGGUAUCCUGUCUGAAUAUGGGGGGACCAUCCUCCAAGGCUAAAUACUCCUGACUGACCGAUAGUGAACCAGUACCGUGAGGGAAAGGCGAAAAGAACCCCGGCGAGGGGAGUGAAAAAGAACCUGAAACCGUGUACGUACAAGCAGUGGGAGCCUCUUAAUGGGGUGACUGCGUACCUUUUGUAUAAUGGGUCAGCGACUUAUAUUCUGUAGCAAGGUUAACCGAAUAGGGGAGCCGAAGGGAAACCGAGUCUUAACUGGGCGUUAAGUUGCAGGGUAUAGACCCGAAACCCGGUGAUCUAGCCAUGGGCAGGUUGAAGGUUGGGUAACACUAACUGGAGGACCGAACCGACUAAUGUUGAAAAAUUAGCGGAUGACUUGUGGCUGGGGGUGAAAGGCCAAUCAAACCGGGAGAUAGCUGGUUCUCCCCGAAAGCUAUUUAGGUAGCGCCUCGUGAAUUCAUCUCCGGGGGUAGAGCACUGUUUCGGCAAGGGGGUCAUCCCGACUUACCAACCCGAUGCAAACUGCGAAUACCGGAGAAUGUUAUCACGGGAGACACACGGCGGGUGCUAACGUCCGUCGUGAAGAGGGAAACAACCCAGACCGCCAGCUAAGGUCCCAAAGUCAUGGUUAAGUGGGAAACGAUGUGGGAAGGCCCAGACAGCCAGGAUGUUGGCUUAGAAGCAGCCAUCAUUUAAAGAAAGCGUAAUAGCUCACUGGUCGAGUCGGCCUGCGCGGAAGAUGUAACGGGGCUAAACCAUGCACCGAAGCUGCGGCAGCGACGCUUAUGCGUUGUUGGGUAGGGGAGCGUUCUGUAAGCCUGUGAAGGUGUACUGUGAGGUAUGCUGGAGGUAUCAGAAGUGCGAAUGCUGACAUAAGUAACGAUAAAGCGGGUGAAAAGCCCGCUCGCCGGAAGACCAAGGGUUCCUGUCCAACGUUAAUCGGGGCAGGGUGAGUCGACCCCUAAGGCGAGGCCGAAAGGCGUAGUCGAUGGGAAACAGGUUAAUAUUCCUGUACUUGGUGUUACUGCGAAGGGGGGACGGAGAAGGCUAUGUUGGCCGGGCGACGGUUGUCCCGGUUUAAGCGUGUAGGCUGGUUUUCCAGGCAAAUCCGGAAAAUCAAGGCUGAGGCGUGAUGACGAGGCACUACGGUGCUGAAGCAACAAAUGCCCUGCUUCCAGGAAAAGCCUCUAAGCAUCAGGUAACAUCAAAUCGUACCCCAAACCGACACAGGUGGUCAGGUAGAGAAUACCAAGGCGCUUGAGAGAACUCGGGUGAAGGAACUAGGCAAAAUGGUGCCGUAACUUCGGGAGAAGGCACGCUGAUAUGUAGGUGAAGCGACUUGCUCGUGGAGCUGAAAUCAGUCGAAGAUACCAGCUGGCUGCAACUGUUUAUUAAAAACACAGCACUGUGCAAACACGAAAGUGGACGUAUACGGUGUGACGCCUGCCCGGUGCCGGAAGGUUAAUUGAUGGGGUCAGCGCAAGCGAAGCUCUUGAUCGAAGCCCCGGUAAACGGCGGCCGUAACUAUAACGGUCCUAAGGUAGCGAAAUUCCUUGUCGGGUAAGUUCCGACCUGCACGAAUGGCGUAAUGAUGGCCAGGCUGUCUCCACCCGAGACUCAGUGAAAUUGAACUCGCUGUGAAGAUGCAGUGUACCCGCGGCAAGACGGAAAGACCCCGUGAACCUUUACUAUAGCUUGACACUGAACAUUGAGCCUUGAUGUGUAGGAUAGGUGGGAGGCUUUGAAGUGUGGACGCCAGUCUGCAUGGAGCCGGCCUUGAAAUACCACCCUUUAAUGUUUGAUGUUCUAACGUUGGCCCGUAAUCCGGGUUGCGGACAGUGUCUGGUGGGUAGUUUGACUGGGGCGGUCUCCUCCUAAAGAGUAACGGAGGAGCACGAAGGUUGGCUAAUCCUGGUCGGACAUCAGGAGGUUAGUGCAAUGGCAUAAGCCAGCUUGACUGCGAGCGUGACGGCGCGAGCAGGUGCGAAAGCAGGUCAUAGUGAUCCGGUGGUUCUGAAUGGAAGGGCCAUCGCUCAACGGAUAAAAGGUACUCCGGGGAUAACAGGCUGAUACCGCCCAAGAGUUCAUAUCGACGGCGGUGUUUGGCACCUCGAUGUCGGCUCAUCACAUCCUGGGGCUGAAGUAGGUCCCAAGGGUAUGGCUGUUCGCCAUUUAAAGUGGUACGCGAGCUGGGUUUAGAACGUCGUGAGACAGUUCGGUCCCUAUCUGCCGUGGGCGCUGGAGAACUGAGGGGGGCUGCUCCUAGUACGAGAGGACCGGAGUGGACGCAUCACUGGUGUUCGGGUUGUCAUGCCAAUGGCACUGCCCGGUAGCUAAAUGCGGAAGAGAUAAGUGCUGAAAGCAUCUAAGCACGAAACUUGCCCCGAGAUGAGUUCUCCCUGACCCUUUAAGGGUCCUGAAGGAACGUUGAAGACGACGACGUUGAUAGGCCGGGUGUGUAAGCGCAGCGAUGCGUUGAGCUAACCGGUACUAAUGAACCGUGAGGCUUAACCUUACAACGCCGAAG
rnacentral:rRNA from 1 species